rnacentral:rRNA from 1 species
GAUGAACGCUGGCGGCGUGCCUAAUACAUGCAAGUCGAGCGAACGGACGAGAAGCUUGCUUCUCUGAUGUUAGCGGCGGACGGGUGAGUAACACGUGGAUAACCUACCUAUAAGACUGGGAUAACUUCGGGAAACCGGAGCUAAUACCGGAUAAUAUUUUGAACCGCAUGGUUCAAAAGUAAAAGACGGUCUUGCUGUCACUUAUAGAUGGAUCCGCGCUGCAUUAGCUAGUUGGUAAGGUAACGGCUUACCAAGGCAACGAUGCAUAGCCGACCUGAGAGGGUGAUCGGCCACACUGGAACGGAGACACGGUCCAGACUCCUACGGGAGGCAGCAGUAGGGAAUCUUCCGCAAUGGGCGAAAGCCUGACGGAGCAACGCCGCGUGAGUGAUGAAGGUCUUCGGAUCGUAAAACUCUGUUAUUAGGGAAGAACAUAUGUGUAAGUAACUGUGCACAUCUUGACGGUACCUAAUCAGAAAGCCACGGCUAACUACGUG